rnacentral:lncRNA from 1 species
UAAAUCUUUUCUUUUCUUUCUUCUUUUUCUUUUUAAUAAAUUAACUCACCAUUUAUGUGUAUUAGGGACUCCUUUGCAUGAGUACAAGGUCCCUUUUAGCUUGAUCUAGGCUUAAUACUCUAUUAUAGCAUGAAAUCCCUUAUUUUCCACCCGGAUGAACAGUAACCCGGACUGACAGUGGGUUACUUCAUCCCGGUUUUG